CCCAUGACAAGAUUUGCAUUUCCGCUUGACAACAUUUGAAUUUGCCCUUGGUAACUUGUGCGUUUCAACGAUCAAACUGCGCGGUAAAACUUCCUGUCUCCAAGCUCGAAAGCAAAUCAGCGACUUAGCUAAUCGGUGUCCGGCAAAGCGCAGAAGUAUUCGAGGGUUGGUCCGUAUCGUUUCCAAACGAAGAAAACACAACAUCAAGUCUACAAUAUACUAUACGGUAUUAUAUAAUACCUUAUUAAAUUCUAAUCGUUUAAUUGGCUGUUUAUGGUCACGUGAUAUUGAAUAGAAAAUUCCAUUUCCCAAGAGUGCAAUGGAACACGUUCCAUUGCACUCUCCGCGAGUGCAAUGGAAUAAAACGUAUAGUACAAUUGCACUCUUUGUGAUUUCGAUAAAUCGCAUCCCUCAAAAUGCUUCUCAUACGAAUCUAUUAGUCUGUUCUGGACUUUUGGUAUUAUAUAAAACAAAUAAUGAAUGUUUCUUCGUGCAAUGGUAAGAAUAUUUUCACUCGGUGAAAGAUGGAAUGUUCCAUUCAACUCGGC